AUAAAAUGGAAAGGGAAAAGACUACUGAUACAGUCCGAUGUUUGGCACCUUGCUAUACCAAAACCCUAAGGAGCCAAGGAAUCUGAAAGAAGUUACUGUAAAGACAGAUACAUGUAGCUCGUCACAACUUCAAACUUCAUAACAAGAUUCCAGAGGUACAGGAUAAACACAUACCAUGG